CCAACGGUCCUUUUCAGGACCACAUUCUGAUUGAAUUAUUGAUAAU
rfam:Trichinella zimbabwensis scaffold51s, whole genome shotgun sequence.